UACGUAGGGCGCAAGCGUUAUCCGGAAUUAUUGGGCGUAAAGAGCUCGUAGGCGGUUUGUCGCGUCGGCCGUGAAAACUUGGGGCUUAACCCCAAGCCUGCGGUCGAUACGGGCAGACUUGAGUUCGGCAGGGGAGACUGGAAUUCCUGGUGUAGCGGUGGAAUGCGCAGAUAUCAGGAGGAACACCAAUAGCGAAGGCCGCUCGCUGGGACGUUACUGACACUGAGGCGCGAAAGCGUGGGGAGCGAACAGG
rnacentral:rRNA from 1 species